rnacentral:rRNA from 1 species
AUUGAACGCUGGCGGCAGGCCUAACACAUGCAAGUCGAACGAGUGGCGGACGGGUGAGUAAUGUAUGGGAACGUGCCUGAUGGAGGGGGAUAACUACUGGAAACUGUAGCUAAUACCGCAUACCAUCGGAUGUGCCAAGAUGGGAUUAGCUAGUAGGUGGGGUAACGGCUCACCUAGGCCACGAUCCCUAGCUGGUCUGAGAGGAUGACCAGCCACACGGGAACUGAGACACGGUCCAGACUCCUACGGGAGGCAGCAGUGGGGAAUAUUGCACAAUGGGCGCAAGCCUGAUGCAGCCAUGCCGCGUGUAUGAAGAAGGCCUUCGGGUUGUAAAGUACUUUCAGCGGGGAGGCGUUACCCGCAGAAGAAGCACCGGCUAACUCCGUGCCAGCAGCCGCGGUAAUAC